rnacentral:rRNA from 1 species
GACGGAGGGUGCAAGCGUUGCUCGGAAUCACUGGGUGUAAAGGGCGCGUAGGUGGUUGUCUAAGUCGGAUGUUAAAGCCCUGGGCUUAACCCAGGAAUCGCAUUCGAAACUGGACAGCUUGAGGGUGGGAGAGGAAAGUGGAAUUCCCGGUGUAGAGGUGAAAUUCGUAGAUAUCGGGAGGAACACCAGUGGCGAAAGCGGCUUUCUGGACCAUCCCUGACACUGAGGCGCGAAAGCGUGGGGAGCAAACAGG